rnacentral:lncRNA from 10 species
UAUAAAUAUUAAUCAUGUAACAUCCUUUCAGGAAGGAGCCAUUCAUAUUACCCUUUGACGGAUGAGGAAAAUUGAUAUAUGGCAAGAAAAGUGGCAGAGCUGAUGUUUGAAACUCAAAUUUCAGAGACAGAAUCUCCCUUUGGUACCCAGGCUGGCCUCGAAUUCCUAAGCUCAAACAAUCCUCCUGCCUCAGCCUCCUAGAAGAUAGGACUAUAAGCAUCACUUGGAUUGGUACAUCCCCAUCUUUGGAGGAAGUCUGCGAUGAAGCCUUGUGUAAGUCAGUCACAGUGUUAAACUGAACCCAGGAGAUUUCACAGGAGGGAGAGUCUUGUUCUGGUACUUCAUCCUGAAAAGAAGCAGAAGUCUGAGAGAAUGUAUCUCUGUAUAUUUUUCCUAAUUCAAUCUUACGUUUGCAUGAAUAUGUGAAUUUGUUCUUUUCUUUGCCCAAAAUAAGAAUAACAAAUAAGUUGCAGAAUUAUUUAUUCCAUAUUAAGUUGAAACUUUCUUGUCAAGAUACGUGUUGAUGUUUGGGAGAUAACAUCUUGUGAGGAAUGCAACUAGAUUAGGAGUGACACCUGUAAGGGAAAGGUAAAUGCGUGUUUUGGGAUAAUAUGCUAAUACUAUAAAAGGUUAAGAGAAUAUAUUCUUACUCCAGAUAUAAAUAUUUCAUGAAGUCUCCCCAGAUUUCUUCUUAAAUCAAAGCAUAAUCAGUCUUGUUUGCUUACAGGAGUCAACUUAUCAAACAUUCUAUUAUAGUCCAUGUCAUAGGGAUAGUUUUGUUCUGUCUUGUUUUUCCUUGUUGUUUUUGAUACUGUGUAUCCAGUCUUAUAUAACAGCCUAUUCAGUCUGUUUAUUCCUGUCUUCUUUUGAAAUAAAGAUCCUACACAAA